CUGUUAUUUUGUGUCACAACCACCCGUGCAUUUUUUUCAUCGCAUUCACAAUAAUUUUUAUUUCAAUUCUACUGUCUCCUCUACUACAAUAUAAGCCACCUAAAGACAGGACCCAUGUCUGCCUUGUUCCCUAUUGAAUCCCCAAGUGCUGGAAACAAUGUCUGGCACAGAGUAGGUACUAGAUAAAUAUUAAUUGGAUGAUGGAUGGAAAAACGGGUGGAUGGAUGGAUGGAUGGAUGGAUAGAUGAUAAGCUACCUGCUCUCUUCUCCCACAGAGAGAAUAAGAUGGGGCCCAGUGAGCACCUGUUUAAGAGGCAUCUCAACUCUGGAUAACUACGUGGGUCUCAGGAGUCCAACGAAGUCUAAUUUGAACAGCUUUAAAAUGCAACGUUUACCAAACACAACUGCAGUUUCUUACAAUUUGAACACCAAAUCGUGAGAUGCUCUGCCCAUCAUCUCAAACAUUUCACCUCAGGUCAACAAAAAUAUCUUCUUUAAAGUUUCUCCAGAGAUCCAGGUAACACUUCAACGUCAAAUCCAGGUGAUUUUCUUAACUGUUGGGCAUUUCCAGUUGGCGGCCUUUCUGGAGAGCCCGUUUCAGUGUCCCAAUGUCUGUCUUUCAGUCUUACUCAACUGGAGGACAUCCAGGUGUGCACCUGCACACCUUCCUGCCAUGACGGCCUUGGCCUGGAGAGUUCAACAUCCUCAUCUCUCUUCCUUCCUUCUACCUUCUCUCUAAGAUGCAGGGGGAGAAAAUACAACACUUUAAUGCCAUGGUCUUAGAGAACCAUUUUAGACAACUUAGACCCCUCACCCACCUAUUUCAGGCUUUAAUUCUACAAAUGUGCUCCAAAAGUGAGAUCUAGAGACAAAAACAUGCAGUAAAUUAAAUUCAGAAGUGGCAGCAGAAAAGGGACCAAAUAUUUUACAGUUUGGGGAGUGGUAAAAGAGACCAGGAUUGCUCAAGAUCCUUUUCAAGAGGCCCAAUUUGGGGAACAGAAAUUUAAUAAUAAAUUGGGUGUUGCAAGU
rnacentral:lncRNA from 1 species